rnacentral:pre_miRNA from 1 species
AGGCCAGGAUUGGUGGCAAUGCCUACUUAUGUAUCAGUAUUGCACUUGUCCCGGCCUUU